CAACAAACAAAAUAGUGUUUGUUCUUCUUAUCUAUAAUGCUUUUCCAAUAACAUUAUUAUUAACAACACCAUUUCAUGGAAGCUCAACUUCAUCACUCAACUAUGCUCAUAGAUUCUCUCUCAUCAAACUGGUUCACCUCUCUCUCUCAUUACUCUCCUUAGUUUUUGCUCUUACUUUUGCUUCUCUAAUAUGGAAUUUCUUUAUUUUUAUUAUAAAAUGUUUUUAAUCAUGGUUAUAAACCGUCAAAAAUACACUCUAACAACUAAAAUUUAUAUAAUUUUGGUAAAGUGAAUAUAAGAUAAGGCUUCUCUUGGAAAAAUAAAACCGAAUUUGAGAAAUUUUAGACUGAACAGAAACAUAUUUUAUCCAAAUAUUAUAUGAAACAGAGUACACUUAAAUUAUAAAUACGUUUUAUCUUUUUAUUAAACUAAAAUUUAAUUUUCUGUGAAAUUGUUAUAUCAAAUUGAAAAAACACAUUAAUCUUAUCAUUUAGGCUCUGAUUUCAGUUUCUAAUUAACUACUUAAGAAACUUACCAUUUUGUUUUAAUAAUAUUUAUCCCUUAACUAACCUCACGUUAUUUAUUUUACCUCUUACACUUUCUUUUAAACUUUUUUAUAAAACUUGACCUUUAAACACGAAUUUUGAAAUAGAAACUAUACAAAAUUAAAGAAUAAACUAAUAUAAAGUAAUAUAUAAACAUAUUGUAAUUUUUCCUUUAUCAUUAAUUAAACAACUAAGUUCAUUGAACAUUCUAAGGACUUUCACUUUUUAGAUAAAGAUUAACUUCAAAAGAUCCAAUUACACCAUUAUCAAAAACAACUAUAAAAGACAAACAAAAAAAUGAUAUAGUUGUGAAAUAUAAUUGAUGAUGAAAUAAUGAAGCACUCUAUAUCCCUAACAACCUCAAAUAUACCCCACUUCAGGAAUCAAUGUUCGAAUAUUCUCUUAUUAAUUAUUUUAUGAAUUAGGUUUCAAAUAUGAACAAUGAACAAUGAACACAGACAUGAAGAAUGAGAACAUGUCCUUUAGAAAAGUGAAGAGUCACUUUCUCACUACAGAAAGCAAACAACCAUCACAUGGAAAGGGUCAAAGGACAUAGAAAUGGAAGGACCAUAAUGCACCUCUCAACUUGCAUAUUCACUCACAACAUCAAACAUUUAUAUAUUCUGACACUCAAAAUUCAUCAUGGAAUUCAUCACAUUAUUGCAUGCUCCUUACAGAAAACAAUGUUUUGAGAGAUUAUUCUCAAAAACAUUUAUUUCAAAUCGUAGGCAUUUCAGAAAUUGAAAAAAAAAAAAUAAAACUCUACCUAAUAAUAACAAUAAUCUGUAUUAUAAUAAUGUUUCCUCAGCAGCAUCAUUCUUAUUAUUAUAUCUAUCUACAGAUGGACUGACAGCCAGAGCAUACUCUUGCAAAAAUCCAGCAGUGACACAUUCCAAAUUUAACUUUCUUGUCCCUGGUUGAGCAUGAAGAACAGUAACAAACAAAUCCAUAGAGGAAUCUUAGUCCACCAAAUCUAUUGUUUUGCCUGCAGGAAACACAAGAAUAUGAAAUAAGUAUACCUACCAAACAAAAUCAUUAUUUCUGAAUUUGUUUAUCUUAAAGAAACUGGUAAUCUAAUUGUUAUUCUCUUUUGUCUUUAACCUUUUUUUUUCUCAAUUUUCUAAGAUUCCCACCCACCUGACAGAUAUUUUCAAGGAACAUGCCAAAGAUGCUUUCAUUAGAAGCCUCAUUGUGAAGGUAUGAACCAAAAAGCAUGUGCAAAAGUAUAUGGUGUGGACAACUUUGGUAAGUCUACAAGGUAAGCUAACUUAUGUUGAAAAUUGACUUUGAAAAGAAGUUGUAUAGGUAGGUUCAAUGUAAGAACCAAAGGAGUUAGGUGGCAAUUCAAGAGGCUACUCAACAAUAAAACUUGGAUCACCUAACUUCAGCAAAAUAUCAUUCAUUAGAUUGGAAGGUAAAAACAUUCAUAACCAACUCCACCCUAUGAACCAUGUUUUUUUCUCCAUGGUAAACUCUCACCUAAUCAUAACUGUUCAUGGUUACACAAAAACCCUUUUAAAAUUUGACAGUUUGCAGAUCAGACAAAAUAACAAUGCAAAGGGUUCAAGUUCACAUAAAUGACUAUCAACAAUCAACCUAAACACAUUCUCUCUCUAAUGGACCCUUGGUCCAGUAUAAUAGGUAACACAACGUGUGUUUGAUGUUUCAAAUAUUUUUCUUUUGGUGGUAAAAAUAUCGCCUGCCAAAUAAACAAUGAUAAACAUAACACAUUAAAAAGUGAAGAACAGAAAAUACCUGUGAAUAUAAGAAGGUUCCAAGGAUAGCAAUAGCGGCACCAAGAGCAUUAACAGGUUGAACUGGAGUGUGGAAGAUAAUAAUCGAAGACAC
rnacentral:lncRNA from 1 species